GCACAGCACACGUGGGCGUGAGCGGUCUCCGGACUGACCACCCUCAGCCUCCCCAGGCCAGCACUGCCUGGAAUCUUUCCUGUUCUUAGAGCUGUGAACCUGAACAAGGCUCAGACAACCCAGGGUCUCUUAGCAUCAGGCUAUAAGAACAAUUCUCCAAUUCAACAAUAUUUAAUUGACUACUUUAGGUAAAUGUCCACAUUUUAUCUAGCCGUUUGUGUGCCCCACCCCGUCAACCUUCUGCCACUUAUAUCCAGACCUAAGCACCCUGCUUCUUUGGGAAGCAUGUGGCUGGCAUUAUAGUACCAGCAUUACGAGCAUACGGGUUUUGGGAACCAGAUGGGACACUGUGAAGUAGCAACUUCCACAGGCCUGUGGACGUGGCCCAGGCACCAGGUUCUUGGCAGUUACUCAUGUCCCCCAAGUCCUGGACCUCAACCCCCGCACAGCUGUCCUGCCCCCGUCUGUGUGGCAGAGCCAGCAACUGGAGAAAUGGCUCAACAGUCCUCAGUCCCCACAUGCUGAGCUAUCUGUCCAGGUUGGGAGGAGCUAUGUUCGCCAGCUGUGGCUCUCCAGGGCCACCAGAACCCAGGGACCACCCAAGUCACUGCUCCUUAGGGGCAGAGGGACUACUGUUUGGGGCCUUGAGGGGUUGACUGGUGCAUCACUUAGAGCCAGAGGCCAAACCAGGGACCACAGAGGGGGUCAAUCGCAUACCCAAAUUUUGAUACACCCUUGAACAAAAACAGAAACCACCUAAAGUGCUUUAAACUCUUCCAGCCAUAAUAUACUUAAGGCAUUUUUCUUUGUACGACCCAGCAGAAACAUUACUUGUAUCGAAUCAAAACACACACUUAUAAGCAAUGAAAAUCAUCACAAUUACACAUAUCUUGCAGCAAACCUUUAAAGUAUGCUGUCAAGACCACAUCUUUGGAUUACCAUCUCAUAAAAUGACCUUUCUCUGAACUCAUCUCCAGGGAGAGCAUGACAGUGUGGUUUUGUUUGAACGGCUGUGCCAGCAGCAAGCUGGCCUUGGAGAGCAUGUGCCCAUGUUGCUGCAGGAUGGCAGGCUCUGGGGAGACCAAACCUGCCCUGCCUCUCAAAGGGUGUGGGUUGAUUUGGGGCAGAUUCCUUCACUUUAGCUAAGGCAAUUUCUUCAUCUGUAGAAUGGGCACAAUAAUAUCUCACCUGAAUGGGACCGUUGCAUGAUACAAGUUUAGUACAAGGACACAGCCAGCACUCAAUAGCUUUCAUUCAUAUUUUUACUGCCCAAAGUCCUACAGUUACUAAGAUGCAGGGAAAGGGCUUGCUCUUAUGCUCUUGUGUUCUGUUAUUAUUUUUAGCAUUUUUUUUUACAUUGUAAUAUAAAACAACAUACAUAAAAGUGCAUAAAUCCAUGCAGUUUAACAAAUAUUUGUAAAACCAAUACUUGUGUAACCACUGCCGAGGUCAAGAAAAGGAUGCUAACAUCCUAGGAGCAUCUUGUAGGCCCCCUCCCCCCCCUGCCAGGAGCCCUUCCCCCCAGCGGUAGCCUCUCCUUCCCACAGCUCCCAAGCACAACUGCUGUGGCUCUUCGAGAAAAGCUCCUCAGGCGGUGAGCCGCCCUCCCUGCAGCACAACAUCCUGAGCCUUGGAGGAUUCCUGAGGACUUAGAGACUCAUGCGUCCUGAAAGCCAUGUCCAGAAGAUUUCUGCUCUCCUUCAUUAAUGUCUGGAAGAGGCCUCAGUUACAUCCUGCCUAUGAGUUGCACAUGCAACAGGACCAACAGUGCUGAUCCACCAACUUGAACACUGAAGGCAGGGAGGACAUGCAAGGGUGGAAGAAAAGUGCCUGGUCGAGAGAAAUGCGGCAGGUUUAGAAAGAAAACUUAAGGUUGGAACAUUUUCAAAGAGCUCAGAAGCUUUCUAUUCAAUGCUGUUCAACAUGCUGGUCUAAGAAAAGGGAAGGAGUCGUGCCCUGUGUUGGAGCUCCUGCUCCAUCAAGUGCAUCGAGAGAUACAGUUGCACAUUGCUCUCUGUGGCAGUUAACAACUUUCCCAAUGUUCUCUGGCAGUUAAGAGGACCGCUGGAACCAUUUGGAAUGGACGUGGCAGACAGGCACCAUUCUCUUGUUCCUGAUUUUAAAGGGAAUGCUUCUAAUGUUUCACCAUUAUGAUGUUAGGUGUAGGUUCUGAGUAGGUCAUCUUACUCAUAUUAACAGAUUUCCCUUCUGUUUCUUACCAUGACUUUGCCAAGUGUUUCUUCUUCCUUUUAAUCUUGAAUAAGUGUGGAAUUUUAUCAAAUGUUCUUUGUGUCCCUAUUGAAGUGUCUGUACUUUUUUCUCCCAUGUUAAUGUGAUUAAUUACAUUCAGAUAUUUUCUAAUGGUAAUCACUCCUGCAUCUCUAGAAUAAUCACAAUUUAGUCAGAAUGUAGUUUCUGUUCUUUAUAUUACUGGAUCUAGUAUGCUUUUACCAUGUCUAGGAUUUUUUUCAUGUAGAUAAAUGAGAACUAUUGUCCCAUAAUUUUCCUUUAUCAUACGGUCCUUGUCUGAUUUUAGUGUCACAGUUGUGUGGGCCUCAGAGUCGAGCUGAGGGAAUGUCCUCCUAUUUUUCUGUUCUCUAGAAAAGUUUAUACCAUAUGAAAUUGCUGUUCUUGUAUAUAAUAAUGAAAAUUCUGGAAUUUUGAGAAAAAAUGUUUUAGUCAACCCAUGUGUACCAUUAACAUUAAUAAAUUUCUUCUACUAACAUACUAAAUAUUAUGUUCAGUUUUUAAAAAUUGAGUGGUUUUAGACAGCAUAAGUUUUCUUAGCCCUCCAAUUUACUACUUCUUUACUGAAAGAGGUUUUAUUUUUUGGCACUGCAAAUGAGGAACAUGAUGGCAGCCCCCUGGGGAAAGUUCCAGUGAGCACGACAUGUGCAAACAACGGUGCUGGCGGUGGUUUCACCUGGGUGUAACGGGCCGCAGUACAGUCACUGGAAUCUUCUCUAGUUGCAGCGAUGUACCUAUGCAUACGUGUGUGCUUCAGCAACAUCCAGACCCUGCCCAGACAGCUUUCGAUUGUUGCAUUUCUAUUUUCUUUGUCACAGGCUUUGAUCCUCUACAAAAUGGGUCUGCUUUUGAUCACCCAUCAAUUAUUGUGCCUAUUUGUUUAAUUUUUUUUCACCUUCUCUAUUGUAGCCAAGUGUUGACAUACUGUGUCACUGGACAUGCCUUAAGUUUGCAACAAAUGUUUGAAUUAUUAUUUGUGGGUUAGUUUUUAAUUCACUGAUUUUUAUUUAAAACAAAGUUGGAUCUUUCUUGAGAUUUAAUUUUGAAAAUAAGAUUCCCAGAUUGAAAUUUUUGAACUAUCUUUUGAACAAUCCUUUAGUAACAAAACUUUUCCACAGACCAAAUGAUGCUUCUAUCUGCUUCAGGUGUAUGAUGUUUCAGUUUAAAUAUAAAAAAGAUCUGCAUUUACUUCAAAGAUAUUGUUUACUUCUGUGGCAAAAUGAAAACAAUAAAAAUAAACUCAAGAACCAAGCAAACUUUAAAAGCACUAUACUGUUGUAAAUUCUCAAUAGCAAAAAUAGAAUUGUAUUUAUAUCAAAUUUACAAUUCAUAGUCAAUUUCAACUGACCACGUGUUGACAUUCCAUGUGGUACACUCUAAUAUAUGCCUGGAAUAAUCCAUUUCUUUAAAGUGUGGUAGAACUUGCCCAUAAAACUAUAUACAUUACACAUACAUACAUACACAAUGAGUUCAUGUAAAAACUGGUGAAAACUGAAUAAGACCUAUAAUCUAGUUAAUUGUAUUGUGGCAGUGUCAAUUUACUGGGUUUGAUGCUGCACUAGUUAUAAAAGGUGUCACCAUUGGGGAAAGAUGAGUGAAGGGUUCCUAGAAUUCUGUUCUCUUUUCUAUUUCUUGUAAAUUUAAAACUAUUUCAAAAAAUAAAGUUAACAAGAAAACACA